rnacentral:rRNA from 1 species
GACGAACGCUGGCGGCGUGCUUACCACAUGCAAGUCGAACGGUAAGGCCCUUCGGGGUACACGAGUUGCGAACGGGUGAGUAACACGUGGGUGAUCUGCCCUGCACUUUGGGAUAAGCCUGGGAAACUGGGUCUAAUACCGGCUAGGACCAUGCGCUUUACGGUGUGUGGUGGAAAGCUUUUUCGGUGUGGGAUGGGCCCGCGGCCUAUCAGCUUGUUGGUGGGGUAAUGGCCUACCAAGGCGACGACGGGUAGCCGGCCUGAGAGGGUGACCGGCCACACUGGGACUGAGAUACGGCCCAGACUCCUACGGGAGGCAGCAGUGGGGAAUAUUGCACAAUGGGCGCAAGCCUGAUGCAGCGACGCCGCGUGAGGGAUGACGGCCUUCGGGUUGUAAACCUCUUUCAGUAGGGACGAAGCGCAAGUGACGGUACCUACAGAAGAAGGACCGGCCAACUACGUGCCAGCCGCCGCAGUAA